CCCUGUACUGCAGAGGAAGGUGAAAAGCCCAGCUAUGGCGAUCAGCUAAACCCUGAGCAUGUGGGCAAGACUCACCUCGACCCAAGAAGAGCAGGCCUGGGCAGAGCAGGUCUGUACAAGGGAAAGGAGAGUGCUUUCCCCUGGGCAGCACAGCCUGGGGCUUAGCCAAAUUGAUUACAGAAUGAGUCCUACCUCCGAGGGACCAUGUAUUGGCCCCGAAAGAACCAGACUGCAGCGGCGAUAAAGCCUAGCUGGGCUAUGCACUGGAAUGAGAACUAGGUAGGAAGUUGAAAGCAGCAAGGAAAGCCUAGAAGGGAACUUGAAGAGAGGUAGGAUGUGCCCAGGGAAACCUGCAGCAAAGAGAAAAGAGCAGACCUAGCUGUUGAGCACAGAGCCCUGGGCUGCUACCAGGUUCAGGAUGGGACCGGGUUCCUCUACUGACCCCAAAGAAGGGGGCAUAAAUGCACCCAGAGAGGUUACCAAGCCCAGCAAGGGGGCUGCAGGCUGAGCCAGAGCCCCAGUGAGAGGAGAAGAACUUUUCUCUCUGGGAAGACCUCUUUGGACUUUUACUGUGUGACAAACUGAGCCCCAGAAGCGGUGACUAAAAGUAGUGAGCCGGCCAGAGGGCCGAAUUACCAGGCAGAAAGACUGCCAUGGUGCUGGAGUGACAGUCGAUGAAGGACCAGAGGGCACCUAACAAUGAGUAGAUUCAUUGAUUAUUGGCAUCGUCAGCAGAAAUGAAUUCCUCCCGUCAUCUGCGAUGGCUCAUGGAAGUCUUGGAUACUGAAGGAAGGAGAUGUCUGGUGAACGGCCUGUGGACUCUGUGCCCCGCACCGCUCCGAAAUUAUUCGCUCCCUUCAAAGAAACAGGGCACAGCUCAGCCUGGGUGCCUGGACCCUGAUUGUAACAUCUCUCUUCCAGUCUCUGGCCCAGCCUCUUCCACAGACGUAUGCUGCAGCCAGCCCAGCUCAGAGAGCAGUGGGAACAGAUGAUCUCAUCCUGUCAAACCAAGCAACAUGAGUCCCACUGAGGCUUAGAUGGAAGAUCCCAGGUAUCUCGUGGAGAGGACGUGUCUGGGAUCCUGGAGACUGUUUCCUGCUGGAGGUUUGAGCGGGGAGAGAUCACUCAGAAGAUCACUCGGGUCUGCAGGGUUCAUGGGAGCAGCCACACUCCAGCAGGCCAUCUGGAAGCCUACUAAAAACUGCUUACCUACGACUUACAAAGUCCAGGCCCAGUUUGAGGCUCCAUCCCUGAGGCCUAUUGGCAGAGUCCCAGAGCAGCUAAUCGGCCCCCGGGACCUCCUUAAACCAACAGCAGGAACAAGAAGCUGUCUGCUCACCGGGGCUCCCCUGUCUUCUGGACCAUGUGAUUCGCUGUGGCUCAUCUGAUUUGAGGGUCUGAACACAAUUUGGUCUUUUGCUUCUGCUCUUCCAGUAUCCUGACCCAGCUGACUCUCGACUCCUGUCUUCUGAGUGUAGACUCUGCCUCUGAGCACUAGGUCUGGCUGCCCAUGACCCGGCCAUGACACUGACUUUUCUACAAUUCCUCCAAUGCCCUUUUCUGCUCUCCAGCCCUGCUCUCCCAGCAAGACACACCAAUCCCCUGGCUCCCAAAGUCCUAGUCGCUGCUAUUCAAGGGCUCAGGGGUAGUGCGUGUAUUGCCCCCUCCCGCACCACAGCUGCUUUUCCUAUGAGAAUCUCCCUGCGCAGAGGAGAAAUCCGCUCUUCUCUUACAAUCAGUCCUGGCAGCAAUUCAGGAAGUCAUAGAAGGGACGGUCUGCUAAGCUCCCUCUGCAAUGCCACUGUCAGAGACCAUUACUGGUGGGUGCCAAGUGAGUGCGCAGGCAGCUCCUUGAGAGACUCCUAGGGGCAGGGUAGUCGUGUUUCACGGUGACCUCUGAAAGCCAUGCAAAGAGUGCAGCAUUGAAGAGACUCUCCUGCGGUAACAAAGGGUUUCUGUUCUCCUACAUAGUCAGCCAGUGAGGCCAGUUUGCAGCAUGGGGAAGAGCUGUUUGGUGCCUUGUUGGAGGAUUCACCAUAUAGCUGGCAGCAGCUUCAGAUCCUGGAGUCCCUAUGAUAUGGUUACCAUGCAUCCGGAUUUUCCCAGACAUGUCCAGCUUUUUGGUUUUUAAAUAGCCGUCGGGGAGGAAUUUGUAAAAAUCUAAAGGUCCGUGAUUUCUCUCCCAAUGCCCGGGCCACCCGGGGGGGGGGCAAGUGGGGCAAUUUGCCCCAGGCCCUGGGCCCCGCAGGGGCCCUCACGAGAGUUUUUGGGGGCCUCUGGAGAAGGGUCCGUCACUCGCGCCGGGGCCCCAGAAAACUCUCGCGGGGCCCGGGCCCCCGGAGCUUCUUCUGCUCUGGCUCUUCAGCGGCAAUUCAGCGGUGGGGGGGUCCUUCCGCUCCGGGUCCCGCCGCCAAAGACCCCGGGACCCCUGAAUCCUCUGGGCGGCCCCACCCAAUGCAGAGUGUGACUCAGCUGAAACGGCGGCCAGGCCCGAUUGAGCCACUCACAUCCGGGCCUCCAGUAGCCAGAGCCCCUCCCCUGGUCUCCCCC